rnacentral:rRNA from 1 species
CCUACGGGAGGCAGCAGUGGGGAAUAUUGGGCAAUGGAGGCAACUCUGACCCAGCAACGCCGCGUGAGCGAUGAAGGUCUUCGGAUUGUAAAGCUCUUUAAGCGGGGACGAAGAAAGUGACUGUACCCGCAGAAUAAGCCUCGGCUAACUACGUGCCAGCAGCCGCGGUAAUACGUAGGAGGCAAGCGUUAUCCGGAAUGACUGGGCGUAAAGGGUGCGUAGGUGGUUUGGCAAGUUGGUAGCGUAAUCCCGGGGCUCAACCUCGGUGCUACUACCAAAACUGUUGAACUUGAGUGCAGGAGGGGUGAAUGGAAUGCGCAGUGUAGCGGUGGAAUGCGUAGAUAUCAGGAGGAACACCGGUGGCGAAGGCGGCUUACUGGACUGUAACUGACGUUGAGGCUCGAAAGCGUGGGGAGCAAACAGGAUUAGAUACCCGUGUAGUC